rnacentral:rRNA from 1 species
UACAGAGGGGGCAAGCGUUGUUCGGAGUUACUGGGCGUAAAGGGCGCGUAGGCGGCCUUCUAAGUCGAACGUGAAAUCCCCGGGCUCAACCCGGGAACUGCGUCCGAUACUGGAAGGCUUGAAUCCGGGAGAGGGAUGCGGAAUUCCAGGUGUAGCGGUGAAAUGCGUAGAUAUCUGGAGGAACACCGGUGGCGAAGGCGGCAUCCUGGACCGGCAUUGACGCUGAGGCGCGAAAGCUAGGGGAGCAAACGGG